GUUUUUAUGUCCUUUAUUCUCAUUAGAGUGGCUGAGCUGGAGGAGCGCAUCGGGGCGACUCUGCACGUGAAGUUCUGCAAAACACAUGAGAUGCUGGAGUUGUUGCAGCAGUUAUCCUGA
rnacentral:lncRNA from 1 species